rnacentral:rRNA from 1 species
AACGCGAAGAACCUUACCUACUCUUGACAUCCAGAGAACUUUCCAGAGAUGGAUUGGUGCCUUCGGGAACUCUGAGACAGGUGCUGCAUGGCUGUCGUCAGCUCGUGUUGUGAAAUGUUGGGUUAAGUCCCGCAACGAGCGCAACCCUUAUCCUUUGUUGCCAGCGGUCCGGCCGGGAACUCAAAGGAGACUGCCAGUGAUAAACUGGAGGAAGGUGGGGAUGACGUCAAGUCAUCAUGGCCCUUACGACCAGGGCUACACACGUGCUACAAUGGCGCAUACAAAGAGAAGCGAACUCGCGAGAGCAAGCGGACCUCAUAAAGUGCGUCGUAGUCCGGAUUGGAGUCUGCAACUCGACUCCAUGAAGUCGGAAUCGCUAGUAAUCGUAGAUCAGAAUGCUACGGUGAAUACGUUCCCGGGUCUUGUACACACCG